rnacentral:misc_RNA from 1 species
CGCUCGAAGCGCGGGCGAACGAACGUAUGCGAAUGGGCCGCGCCAUUUUAAAAUACCGCUCGCCAACCCGACCAAAUUAAACGGCGCUUACUCCAAGCGCUCCCCGCUCACAUGCCGCGUUCUUAAUUCGGCCGCAUUAUGUUCAGGUCAGACGACUUGGAGUGGACGAACAAUCAAGUGAUUCGAUUAAUUAAUGAGUACAAGAACAGACCGAUGCUAUGGGACCCGAACCACGAGUUGUUCAGAGUGCAAACGGCGAAAUACGAGGCCUGGUCGGAGAUAGCUCAGAUGUUUGACAUGCACGUGACGGAUCUACGCAAGAAAUUUAAUUCGAUAUUUGCGUCGCAUCGCCGGGAGAAAGCUAAAGUGAGGUUCGGAACGCACUCCAAUUGGUUCCUGUACGACCACCUCAGCUUCUUGCCGAGCCACGUGAAUAACACAAGCAAAACCGGGUCGACGGUUGUUGUGAAAACGGGUGAAGACCAGGAGGGUGAAGAAGACUCCGAGAUUGACUUAGAUAAUGAACUGGACGUGUCCCACGAAGAAAUCAUCAUCAAAAACGAGCCAGAGGUCACGACUCCGCCUAAAAAAGUCACGUUAUACAGAAAACCGAGACCCCGCAUAGUCAGACAUAUAGUCAAACCAAAAAACAACGAACGGCAGCUAUCUGAAGCUAUGAAAAUUAUAAAAACAUCUACUGUGUCCAAGAGGAAAGACGAAUGCGAUAGUUUUGGGGAAUACAUCGCUGUGUCUUUAAGGAAGCACGACGAAAGGACUCGAUCUAUGAUCAAGCAGGCCAUCAAUAAUAUUCUGUUCGAACAGGAGAUGAAGAAGUAUAGUUCCCCCCAAUUCACUUUGGUUGAGAUUGAAGAGAACCCACUCAUUAUAGGUGAUGGUGAUGCUGAAUGUGAUAAGUGAUCGGACGUCACUGGCUUGUAAAGUUGUGCAUUUCGUGAUUAACUUCGAAAUAUGGGUGCAGUAUACAAAGCCUGAUACGCUGGAUGUUUCCUGAACGAAAUUCUGCGAAACGGCAAGAGGAAUGAUCCGAAAUUAUAAAAAAUAUUGAUGUAAGAACAUCUUCUAUAGACACAUAUAAUUACUUACGAACACGCAACGCUCCGAACAGUUUUCCUUAAUUUUUUGCAUCUAUCCAUCGUGUAUCUAGUCCACCUGCCUACGUGCCAACUGGCACGCUGCGUCAUUACUGACAAUACGUGUUCCUUCCAAUAAAUUUUACAUACAUU